rnacentral:rRNA from 1 species
GCAUGCUGGGUAGCAGGAGACGGCGUAAUGCGGUGGGAGCGAGAUUAAAGGGGAAUUAGUAUGCGGAAAUGUGAGGUGGGCUGUUGUAUAACGUGAGGGUGAAAGCCCGGGGCUUAGAUUGGGAAUGGCGCGUGUUACUGUCAGGGUAGAGGAUGGCAGAGGGGGGUAGAAUUCCACGGGUAGCAGUGAAAUGCGGAGAGAUGUGGAGGAAUACCGAUGGCGAAGGCAGCCCCCUGGGACGUCACUGACGCUCAUGCACGAAAGCGUGGGGAGCAAACAGGAUUAGAUACCCCUGUAGUC